AUAGGGAUCACGGGGUGUGUUUCAUUGUUCGGAAAAACCCGUAGUUGGAGAUUGGGAGAUAUUGGAUUAGAUGUCAGCUGUGGACCUUUGAGAAAUGAAGAAUUGGAUAAUUAUAUUAUCUGACCAGGAUCGAAAGAGUGGGUUGAUUCGGUUUUAAAAUGUAUAUGGUACAUAUAAUUUUGAUCAUUAUUUGGUAUGCCUUAAAACUCAUUGAAUGGUGUUAUAGGUAUUCCGUCAUAGGAAGCUGAAAGACCUCAUGAACAGCAGGACAGAAAGGAUUGUUAAAUAUUUAAAUAUGUGAAAUUUAUGAAAAUAUAUAUGGAUAUAGACUUUUGUAAUAAAGUGUGUAUUAUUUAA